UCCUCCAAGGCUAAAUACUCCUGACUGACCGAUAGUGAACCAGUACCGUGAGGGAAAGGCGAAAAGAACCCCGGCGAGGGGAGUGAAAAAGAACCUGAAACCGUGUACGUACAAGCAGUGGGAGCACCCUUCGGGGUGUGACUGCGUACCUUUUGUAUAAUGGGUCAGCGACUUAUAUUCUGUAGCAAGGUUAACCGUAUAGGGGAGCCGGAGGGAAACCGAGUCUUAAUUGGGCGUUAAGUUGCAGGGUAUAGACCCGAAACC
rnacentral:rRNA from 2 species